AAGCGUUAAUCGGAAUUACUGGGCGUAAAGCGUGCGCAGGCGGUGAUGUAAGACAGGUGUGAAAUCCCCGGGCUUAACCUGGGAACUGCAUUUGUGACUGCAUCGCUGGAGUGCGGCAGAGGGGGAUGGAAUUCCGCGUGUAGCAGUGAAAUGCGUAGAUAUGCGGAGGAACACCGAUGGCGAAGGCAAUCCCCUGGGCCUGCACUGACGCUCAUGCACGAAAGCGUGGGGAGCAAACAGG
rnacentral:rRNA from 1 species